rnacentral:lncRNA from 1 species
CUUUCCCAUGAGUUAGCAGCUCUUAAACUUUUGAGAACCUGAACAAAGCUAUAUGUUCUCUCCUGGAUAAAUGCAUAUUAGCAUAGGCAUGCAUUUUGAUUACAAGAUCUGGUGUCCAUAGACCUCUACAGCCUAGGAACAGAGAAGGCUUUGUGGACUUGAUUUCAUUAAUCUUCAGAAAAUCCUGGGGACAGCCUGCGGGCAAAAUGCUGAAUCCUCUUGUGCCUGCGGAAAACGUGUCCAGGGAGAGGGAGAGGCUUGCCAAGGUCACAAGCCACCAGAAAAUGUCUUGUGUCAAGACAGAAAACCAUGCAGAACAAGAACAUUGCUACCCUCCUGAAUCCAAUAUCCCAGCUGCCUGGAGGUUUCUGAGCAGGGAUGGGGACAAGAAAAGACCCCAACAAGAAAAUAAGAGGUCACAAUCUGGAGGAGUUUUCAGACCAAACAUGGCUUCUGUCAAGAAGAUUUCUUCCAUUCUGACAAGCACCAAUCAGAGUUGAUGCAUCUGCUUGGGAACCUCAUGGAACACAUUCCUGGAGAGAUGAACAAACUGGACGAUAGCCCUUACAAAUACUCCUUCUCUGUCUGUGUUAUUGUGGAUAGAAGCAUGGAUAAAAUGUCAUGCUUCUAUGUUAGAUAAACCCAUUCACUUUUAAACUGGAUCCUAUCUCCACUUAUGCAUUCAGCUACAGCAAUUCUCCUCUCUCAUUUAUCUUUACAUUCUCACUUUUUAAAUGGUCAUCCCCAGCAGCAAAUAUGUUGUUAUUUCAUCUAGCUUAACAAAACAACAACGAACAACAAAACAUCCCCGUUAACUGCAACUCCCCUCCAUCUAUUCCACAUUUACCUGUCACAUGUGUGCUGCAUCUUUCAUAGAAUUUUCCUCAGCCAACAAAGCCAGCCCUUCUUCUCAGGAGAAGAUCACAGCCAAUGACUGACUGGCACAUAGGUACAAAAAUUCUGGUCCACUGCCUUGAGGUAAAGCUAACUUAGGAGUGCAAACUGUUUUCCAGAGCUUCCCUACAAGAUGGGACUGACACUAGUUGUCAGUUGAGACUCUACUCCUGCUUGGCAUUUUUUCUGCCCUAUAUUUCUUCCCAUACUUCACCUUUUCUGGAAAGUAUUUCCCCAAUAAAUUAUCUGGUUCUAGGGGACCCA